AUGAGAGCUGCCAAAAUGAUUCUGCAAGAGACAGGGUAUUUUAUCACAACAGAAGUGGCACAAGAACACCAUCAAAUUCUCAAAAUCUUAGUAACUUACUCUUGUUUACAAAUGAAGAAACUGGGCUCCAGGAGACUUAAGUUAAUGCACAAAGUUACUUGUCUUAUAUGUGAAAGAAUUGGAAGUCAAGACACAAAUGUAUCAAGUGCAUUGACUUUACUCCAAGAAUCAUGUCCUUCAACCUCCCUGGAAAUCAGGAAGGUAUCAAGAACAGAGUUUGGGAGGUUUCGGCUGCAUAAUCUGUAGUUCAGUCACAAAUGAAUUUCAAAGUUCUCUCACCAGGACAAUGCAAAUAUAGCAAUAAUGAUCUAGUGCCUCCUCAAAAGGGCUGUGAGCUUUGUAGGAUGCAGCAUAAUAUGAAAAUCCACUCAUGGAACACAGAGAAAUCAUUCCCCAGUGAACUGAAACACCCCUUUAAAUUAAGGUGAGUGGCUCACAUAUGUUAGCCCAAACCUGCCCUUUCUCUGCUAAGACAAGCACAGUGGAUUCUGUGCAUCCACUCACUUUACUUUUGCAGGCUGUAGCAGACUUGGCACUUGGAAAACAGCCAGAGUUCUCUAGAGGAACGGAACUGAUUAUAUAUAUAUAUAUAUAUAUAUAUAUAUAUAUAUAUAUUAGAUUAUUAGAUUAGAUUACAGUAAAGGCUGGCUAAUUCAACAAUGGCCACCAACAAACAGAAGAGUCCAGUAGAUGCUAAGUCCACAAGACUGGAUAUGUCAGGGAUGUCAAUCAGAUAUUGAAGCCCUAGAGGGUUCCUGGAGAGCCAUUAGUCUUUAGUCCCUAUUGGAAGGCCAAAGAAACUUAAAUUCCUGUGUCAAAGAUGGGCAGCAGUGGAGGCACCUGCAACAAUAGGAUAAACAUACUAAAAAGCAAGAUGUGGAGGCAGGCAGGCAAAGCAGCACUGAUUUCCCUGGAACCUCUUUAUGUAUGGACUACCAAAGGGAAGUAUCACACACUCUAGGGAAGGGUCUUCUCUCUGUUAGUCUUCCCUCACAGACCCACCCAAAGGUAUGUCUCUUAGUUGGUUGACAAGCAAGAUUAAUUAUCAUAAUAGGUGGUGAGGUCUAUUGCUAGAACAAAAUUAUGUCCCCAGUACUCCUUUUUGAUUGCCCAUUACCUUCAUGGUGUACCAUGGUGUACCACACUUAGUGCUUCAGAAGAUGAAGGUCUGAGACUCCAUUCUUGAUCUCAGGACAUAAAUCAUAGUUGUAGUCAUGGUUAAGACAGUAAACUACUUGCCUUGCAAGCAUGGGGAUCUGGGUUCAAUCCUAGGAUCUAUGUUAAAAAAUAAUAAUAAGCUAGGUGUGGUACCAUUUUCCAUCCCAGCUCUAGGAGACAGGGUCAGGUGGAUUUUGUUACAGAUAGACAGUUUAAAAUUUACUGCUUCACUGAGAAGUGUGCCAGACACACUGUGGCCUAUAGGGUGAAGAUGGAUGCCCCAACAUCACAGAAGAACUUUGGGUGACUGUCCAGGUAGCGAGAUGUCUCUGUCAGUUCUGGAGUUCAUAUAUUAUCCUUCUGUAUUUGAUGAAGUUGAAGACAGAUAGUUAUGGUUAUAGUUUUCUUUAGUUAUUAUAAAAAAUAAGUUACAUAUAAGACCUUAGACUCACAAAGAUAGGAUGGAUGAAAGAAUGUUUUCUUUAAAUAUUGCUAAAUGUUAAUUGUGGGGGACCAAAAUAUUUCCGCUAUGGAAUAUUUUGAGAUACUGCCUUUGGUUUCACUAAACAUGGAGCACCGGAAAGCUAUUGUAUUGUUAAUGCCAGUAGGGCUACUAUUGUUUAUCAUGGCCUCAGGGUAAUAUGCCUCCUAAUUUGCAUCUCUAUGCACCUAAGCAUCUGAAUAGCCCCUCACGUUGGCAGGGAGAGCAGAGGUGUGUAAGUAACUUGUAAGGACUGAAGGUUAGGAGUUAGGGGUGAGUGACCAGAGAGCAGAGAGGGAACAAAGAGAGAAAUGGUUCCCUCAUGAUCAUGGCAGGAUGGUUAAGAAACAGCAGAAAAGAUGGCUAAUAAAGAAAUGACUCUAGUUCUACA
rnacentral:lncRNA from 1 species